UACGUAGGGUGCAAGCGUUAAUCGGAAUUACUGGGCGUAAAGCGUGCGCAGGCGGUUUUGUAAGUCAGAUGUGAAAUCCCCGGGCUUAACCCUGGGAACUGCAUUUGUGACUGGCGGGCUGAGAGUAUGGCAGAGGGGGGGUAGAAUUCCGACGUGUAGCAGUGAAAUGCGUAGAGAUGUGGAGGAAUACCGAUGGGCGAAGGCAG
rnacentral:rRNA from 1 species